rnacentral:rRNA from 1 species
CCCUUAGAUGUUCUGGGCCGCACGCGCGCUACACUGACUACUUCAACGAGUUGUUUCCUUGAUCGAAAGGUCCGGGUAAUCUUUGAAAGGUAGUCGUGAUGGGGAUAGAUCCUUGCAAUUUUUGAUCUUCAACGAGGAAUUCCUAGUAAACGCAAGUCAUCAGCUUGCAUUGAUUACGUCCCUGCCCUUUGUACACACCGCCCGUCGCACCUACCGAUUGAAUGGUCCGGUGAAUCUUUAGGACUGUGGCUGAGGCCUUGCCUUGUGCGGGUCUGGCCGUGGGAAUUUAGUUAAACCUUACCAUUUAGAGGAAGGUGAAGUCGUAACA